UGGUGAUUGUUUGAUUUUAAUUUCAGCAAAAGUGUGAAUGCAUGCUUGAUACACAUACACCAAUUAAUCCACACAUAGUAAGGGCAAUCACCCCAACAAGAUAAGAACUGUAUUUCAUCACCAGAUUCUUGCCCAAAUUAGGUGAAUCAACUCUCACAUAGUUAUCACUUUAAUUAAAAUCAAUUAGACGUUGGCCCCUAGGGACAUUCGAGCUCAAUAGGACGAAGAUC
rnacentral:lncRNA from 1 species